AUUGAACGCUGGCGGCAGGCCUAACACAUGCAAGUCGAACGGAGUGGCGGACGGGUGAGUAAUGCCUAGUAAUCUGCCUGGUAGUGGGGGAUAACGUCCGUAAACGGGCGCUAAUACCGCAUACUAUCAGAUGAGCCUAGGUCGGAUUAGCUAGUUGGUGGGGUAAAGGCCUACCAAGGCGACGAUCCGUAACUGGUCUGAGAGGAUGACCAGCCACACUGGAACUGAGACACGGUCCAGACUCCUACGGGAGGCAGCAGUGGGGAAUAUUGCACAAUGGGCGCAAGCCUGAUGCAGCCAUGCCACGUGUAUGAAGAAGGCCUUCGGGUUGUAAAGUACUUUCAGCGAGGAGGCGUUACUCGCAGAAGAAGCACCGGCUAACUCCGUGCCAGCAGCCGCGGUAAUUC
rnacentral:rRNA from 1 species